GCGAACGCUGGCAGCAGGCCUAACACAUGCAAGUCGAGCGCCCGGGCAACCGAGAGCGGCAGACGGGAGAGUAACACGUGGAAACGUACCCUUCAGUUCGGAACAACCCAGAGAAACUUGGGCUAAUAUCGAAUACGUCCGUAAGGAGAAAGAUUUAUCGCUGAAGGAUCGGCCCGCGUCUGAUUAGCUAGUUGGUGAGGUAACGGCUCACCAAGGCGACGAUCAGUAGCUGGUCUGAGAGGAUGAUCAGCCUCAUUGGGACUGAGACACGGCCCAAACUCCUACAAGAGGCAGCAGUGGGGAAUAUUGGACAAUGGGCGCAAGCCUGAUCCAGCCAUGCCGCGUGGGUGAUGAAGGCCCUAGGGUUGUAAAGCCCUUUCGGCGGGGAAGAUAAUGACGGUACCCGCAGAAGAAGCCCCGGCUAACUUCGU
rnacentral:rRNA from 1 species